rnacentral:rRNA from 1 species
CUGUGAGCUCGAUGAGUAGGGCGGGACACGUGGUAUCCUGUCUGAAUAUGGGGGGACCAUCCUCCAAGGCUAAAUACUCCUGACUGACCGAUAGUGAACCAGUACCGUGAGGGAAAGGCGAAAAGAACCCCGGCGAGGGGAGUGAAAAAGAACCUGAAACCGUGUACGUACAAGCAGUGGGAGCACGCUUAGGCGUGUGACUGCGUACCUUUUGUAUAAUGGGUCAGCGACUUAUAUUCUGUAGCAAGGUUAACCGAAUAGGGGAGCCGAAGGGAAACCGAGUCUUAACUGGGCGUUAAGUUGCAGGGUAUAGACCCGAAACCCGGUGAUCUAGCCAUGGGCAGGUUGAAGGUUGGGUAACACUAACUGGAGGACCGAACCGACUAAUGUUGAAAAAUUAGCGGAUGACUUGUGGCUGGGGGUGAAAGGCCAAUCAAACCGGGAGAUAGCUGGUUCUCCCCGAAAGCUAUUUAGGUAGCGCCUCGUGAAUUCAUCUCCGGGGGUAGAGCACUGUUUCGGCAAGGGGGUCAUCCCGACUUACCAACCCGAUGCAAACUGCGAAUACCGGAGAAUGUUAUCACGGGAGACACACGGCGGGUGCUAACGUCCGUCGUGAAGAGGGAAACAACCCAGACCGCCAGCUAAGGUCCCAAAGUCAUGGUUAAGUGGGAAACGAUGUGGGAAGGCCCAGACAGCCAGGAUGUUGGCUUAGAAGCAGCCAUCAUUUAAAGAAAGCGUAAUAGCUCACUGGUCGAGUCGGCCUGCGCGGAAGAUGUAACGGGGCUAAACCAUGCACCGAAGCUGCGGCAGCGACGCUUAUGCGUUGUUGGGUAGGGGAGCGUUCUGUAAGCCUGCGAAGGUGUGCUGUGAGGCAUGCUGGAGGUAUCAGAAGUGCGAAUGCUGACAUAAGUAACGAUAAAGCGGGUGAAAAGCCCGCUCGCCGGAAGACCAAGGGUUCCUGUCCAACGUUAAUCGGGGCAGGGUGAGUCGACCCCUAAGGCGAGGCCGAAAGGCGUAGUCGAUGGGAAACAGGUUAAUAUUCCUGUACUUGGUGUUACUGCGAAGGGGGGACGGAGAAGGCUAUGUUGGCCGGGCGACGGUUGUCCCGGUUUAAGCGUGUAGGCUGGUUUUCCAGGCAAAUCCGGAAAAUCAAGGCUGAGGCGUGAUGACGAGGCACUACGGUGCUGAAGCAACAAAUGCCCUGCUUCCAGGAAAAGCCUCUAAGCAUCAGGUAACAUCAAAUCGUACCCCAAACCGACACAGGUGGUCAGGUAGAGAAUACCAAGGCGCUUGAGAGAACUCGGGUGAAGGAACUAGGCAAAAUGGUGCCGUAACUUCGGGAGAAGGCACGCUGAUAUGUAGGUGAAGUCCCUCGCGGAUGGAGCUGAAAUCAGUCGAAGAUACCAGCUGGCUGCAACUGUUUAUUAAAAACACAGCACUGUGCAAACACGAAAGUGGACGUAUACGGUGUGACGCCUGCCCGGUGCCGGAAGGUUAAUUGAUGGGGUCAGCGCAAGCGAAGCUCUUGAUCGAAGCCCCGGUAAACGGCGGCCGUAACUAUAACGGUCCUAAGGUAGCGAAAUUCCUUGUCGGGUAAGUUCCGACCUGCACGAAUGGCGUAAUGAUGGCCAGGCUGUCUCCACCCGAGACUCAGUGAAAUUGAACUCGCUGUGAAGAUGCAGUGUACCCGCGGCAAGACGGAAAGACCCCGUGAACCUUUACUAUAGCUUGACACUGAACAUUGAGCCUUGAUGUGUAGGAUAGGUGGGAGGCUUUGAAGUGUGGACGCCAGUCUGCAUGGAGCCGACCUUGAAAUACCACCCUUUAAUGUUUGAUGUUCUAACGUUGACCCGUAAUCCGGGUUGCGGACAGUGUCUGGUGGGUAGUUUGACUGGGGCGGUCUCCUCCUAAAGAGUAACGGAGGAGCACGAAGGUUGGCUAAUCCUGGUCGGACAUCAGGAGGUUAGUGCAAUGGCAUAAGCCAGCUUGACUGCGAGCGUGACGGCGCGAGCAGGUGCGAAAGCAGGUCAUAGUGAUCCGGUGGUUCUGAAUGGAAGGGCCAUCGCUCAACGGAUAAAAGGUACUCCGGGGAUAACAGGCUGAUACCGCCCAAGAGUUCAUAUCGACGGCGGUGUUUGGCACCUCGAUGUCGGCUCAUCACAUCCUGGGGCUGAAGUAGGUCCCAAGGGUAUGGCUGUUCGCCAUUUAAAGUGGUACGCGAGCUGGGUUUAGAACGUCGUGAGACAGUUCGGUCCCUAUCUGCCGUGGGCGCUGGAGAACUGAGGGGGGCUGCUCCUAGUACGAGAGGACCGGAGUGGACGCAUCACUGGUGUUCGGGUUGUCAUGCCAAUGGCACUGCCCGGUAGCUAAAUGCGGAAGAGAUAAGUGCUGAAAGCAUCUAAGCACGAAACUUGCCCCGAGAUGAGUUCUCCCUGACUCCUUGAGAGUCCUGAAGGAACGUUGAAGACGACGACGUUGAUAGGCCGGGUGUGUAAGCGCAGCGAUGCGUUGAGCUAACCGGUACUAAUGAACCGUGAGGCUUAACCUU